UUUUUUUAAAUAAUACAACUUUAGUAUAAGUAGAUGGCAGAGAUCUCAACUCAUAGAAUAUUUCAAGUAUCCAAGCCAGUUUACAAUACAAUGGAAACUUACAUGGGAAUGUGUUUACUGUACAAUGGAAAAAAUGGAUGUCAGCAAAUAAGAUUUUAGGUCAAGCUAUUCCAUAUUUAAAAUUAAGAAAAAGAACUGCCAACUAUUAAACUGUCCCUUUAGGAUUUGGAAUUUUUCCCUCAAGAGCUUGGAAUUUUUGAAGUGACAAAUGUUGAUUUUAACCAAUUCCACUAAAGCUGCAUCACACAACACAGGUAAAUAGAAGUAUGUUUUGGUCCAGAUAGGAUUACUUUUAAUAGUUCGUUGAUCCUGUUUCAGAUCUCUCCGAUUGUAGCGGGUGAACUUUCCUGAGAAAAUCUCACAGCAAGUAAUUCAACUACUUCCAAGUAUGAACUUCCCGCUUCGAGAAGAUGUUAAUAUCAGCGGUCUUUUUUAUCAUUUGCAGGAAUAUCACCGUGGUGUGCUGCUGUCUGCCAAUCGUACCAAAAGCGUAGCAUGGAAUUUAACUCAGCUGUAAAUUCUGCCCCACGUCGGCCACGUCAGGCUCCUUGAACAGUUUCGUCCCUUAUUAAGGAAUAUCACAGUGGUGUGCUGGUGUCUGCCAAUCAAAAACGUAGCAUGAGAUUUAACGCAGCUGGAUCCUGCCCCACGUCAGGCUACUCGAACACUUUUGUCCCUUGAGAUGGAGGGAGAGUACUAGAUGCCGACAUGGACCUGCUCUGUGUCGCCGUCACAGGAACAGUACAAGCUGUGCAGACCGACUCGCC